rnacentral:rRNA from 1 species
GACGAACGCUGGCGGCGUGCUUAACACAUGCAAAUCGAACGGAAAGGCCCUGCUUUUGUGGGGUGCUCGAGUGGCGAACGGGUGAGUAACACGUGAGUAACCUGCCCUUGACUUUGGGAUAACUUCAGGAAACUGGGGCUAAUACCGGAUAGGAGCUCCUGCUGCAUGGCGGGGGUUGGAAAGUUUCGGCGGUUGGGGAUGGACUCGCGGCUUAUCAGCUUGUUGGUGGGGUAGUGGCUUACCAAGGCUUUGACGGGUAGCCGGCCUGAGAGGGUGACCGGCCACAUUGGGACUGAGAUACGGCCCAGACUCCUACGGGAGGCAGCAGUGGGGAAUAUUGCACAAUGGGCGGAAGCCUGAUGCAGCAACGCCGCGUGCGGGAUGACGGCCUUCGGGUUGUAAACCGCUUUCGCCUGUGACGAAGCGUGAGUGACGGUAAUGGGUAAAGAAGCACCGGCUAACUACGUG